CAAAGACAGUUAGAGAGGCCAGUUUAGAAACUCUUAUGUUUGAAGGAUUCAGUUGUGUCCAGUGUUAAAUAUGACAUUUGUUAAGUGCCUACAAGAGCCAGGCCCUUUGUCGAGGUCAUUUCUGAUCUUCUCAACAAUUCUGCCAGGAGAGAAUGGCCCUAGCAAUGCCAGUGACCGGCCACCUGCUAAUGCUCCUUCCACCAACACCUGCUAACUGCACAUCACCCCCUAACACCAAAAGAACAAGCACCACCACCAUUGCCAGAGGCUGGAAGGGGAUCCUGUAUCACCCUGCUUGAUCACAGGGCCAUGGCAGGUAUCUGUGAUCAUUUUGCACAUCCUGAUGCAAUACGGGCAGAAAGAAUUCAACAGAUUCAAAUGCUGGCCUGCGCGGCUCCCUCUGUGGCCACGCUGAGGUCAGAUGCUCGCUUCUUCCUGGGGAAGCCGUCCUCCUCCCGAGUCUGGGAGCGGGAAGACAUCACUGUGCUAGUCCAGGUAAUCUCACCACCAAAGGAAAUCUAACGUUUUAGGGUGAAAGUGAUUCUUGCUACAGGGUAACAUUUAAUACAUAUUACUGGCACGUAAGUUUAUUGAUGUGGAUGCCAAUAGCGAGUAAGUAGGUUGAAAGUGUCAGCAGUCAGUGGCCUAAAUGUCUGUGUUUAGGUAAGUACCUGGCACACGUCCGGGCUCCUGUUCACACAGAUUCAUUCCCCCAGGUCAGACUCAGAGCACUGCUGUGAGGGUGGCCAGGCAGGAAUUAUCAGCCACAUUGAAGAGGCGAGCCCUGGGUCACAUUUGAAAACAGACUCAGGGAGGAAACUCGAACUCGAGUCUCAGUGAAAUGAACACUGCUUCCCCAUCUGGCCUGGAAGGAGCUCUCGGACAGCUGUGAGAUUACAGAUCGAUUUUUUAGUGACUAAAAUGUUGGCAGAAACAGACAGAAAACAAUACGCUGUCUGUUCCUUCUGUUUGUUUUGUCUUUUCAAUUUCAUGUGUGUAUCAGAUUGUUGCACAAUAAGGCCGGGCAUUGUCGGCUGUAAGUCCCCAACAAAUAUUUGUUGAGUAUGGAAAAUGGCUUAUUAAGCAUUAAUAUGCAAAUUAUAUCAUUAGGAGAGCUUACUUCCAAGACCCAUUAAUUUAUUUUUUACAGAAAAAUACAAUAUCUGACUGCUCACAUUUUAUUUUAAAAGAACAUUAUCAUCCUCUCAUCCCUCAGGCUCCUGCCCUGGGGUCUGGGCACAAAUUGAUAACUAUUACAUUAUUAUUAUUUUAAAAUCCAGUUUCCCCUCUUCCACUCACCCUUAAUGCCAUUCUAUUAUAGACCCGAGACUUUCAAAGAAGCCAAAUGAUAAUUUAAGGGAAUGUCCCCAUUUCACAGGUGAGAAGAUUAAGGCCCAGAGAAAUCACCUGUCAGCCCCAGGUCCCCGGCUGAUCAGUGGCGGGACAGCACGAGGGCCGCAGAGCUCCUGUUAUGUGGCCUGCCUCCUCUCGAUGCCAAGACUAAUCUGAACCAACUUCGCGGCCUUCAUUCUGAACAGUCUUCUCUCUUGCUCUCAUGUGCCCUUAAUAAUCUGAGUGUGCUCUGGUGCAUUUUCCUUUAUGAACUAUUUGUUGAACUCAGAAAGUUGAGUGAGGCUUAAAAAAUUCUCCACUACUAAUUUAAUUUCUACCCCACAUACAAUGAUGAUUUUUCUAAUGGUGGUGCUAAAUGAAUAGUGUUGUGAAAGAGAUUCGCUUCACUUGAUCUGUUUAUAAAUUUCUUACCUCCUAAAACGUUAGGAAGGAAUCUUAUGACAGCACAGCCACCCCUGAGUGCCCUCUGCCUUCCCGGCUCUCUCUUGGCGCCUUCCACUUCACGGUAGCUAGGGUGGGAGCUGAGGGCCGCCUGUCAUACGGCACACCGUGACGCGUCAUGGCUCACAGGAACAAGCGCCCUUCCUCUAACCCUUUGACAACCUCAAUCCUACGGGGUUCCAGGUCCCCGACAAAGUCCAGCCUCACACUCCACGCAGGCGUGGACGCUCCCCUUGGUCUACAGACGACUGGAAUCACAGCCUGAAAGUUUUUACUUGGUCAGCUUCACGAAAAGACAGUUUUAAACAAGAUUUCACAUUUUAUUUUGAUCACUAAGCACAAAGAAUCGCUACUUGAGGCUUAGGGGGAAAAACACCAGCACCCAAAAAACAAACCAAAAAUUUCAAAGGCUCACUAUUAUUUUAGGCGUUUCUCCAGAUUUGAAGAGGGAGGGUUGAAACUCAGGCUCUCUGGUCACCUGCGAGUCUAGAAGGUUGGGAAGCACAACGUGCUCCUAGUGAAGCUGCAAUGUCAUCGGCCAAAAUCAUCCCUCCCUCACAGCCUUGGCGGGAGGU